rnacentral:rRNA from 1 species
CCUACGGGAGGCAGCAGUGAGGAAUAUUGGUCAAUGGGCGCGAGCCUGAACCAGCCAAGUAGCGUGAAGGAUGACUGCCCUACGGGUUGUAAACUUCUUUUAUAAAGGAAUAAAGUGAGGCACGUGUGCCUUGUUGUAUGUACUUUAUGAAUAAGGAUCGGCUAACUCCGUGCCAGCAGCCGCGGUAAUACGGAGGAUGCGAGCGUUAUCCGGAUUUAUUGGGUUUAAGGGGAGCGUAGAUGGGUUGUUAAGUCAGUUGUGAAAGUUUGCGGCUCAACCGUAAAAUUGCAGUUGAUACUGGCGGCCUUGAGUACAGUUGAGGUAGGCGGAAUUCGUGGUGUAGCGGUGAAAUGCUUAGAUAUCACGAAGAACUCCGAUGGCGAAGGCAGGCGAC